rnacentral:rRNA from 1 species
UACGAAGGGGGCAAGCGUUGUUCGGAAUUACUGGGCGUAAAGGGCGCGUAGGCGGUGCACUAAGUCAGGCGUGAAAGCCCUGGGCUCAACCCGGGAAUUGCGCUUGAUACUGGUGCGCUUGAAUCCAGGAGAGGUUGGUGGAAUUCCCAGUGUAGAGGUGAAAUUCGUAGAGAUUGGGAAGAACACCGGUGGCGAAGGCGGCCAACUGGACUGGUAU